AUUGUGGCCCUCCAAAAUAUGCAGGUCGAGGUCCAAAUAAGUGUCGCGAGAUUACUGUCACCGACAAUCAGAAAAAACGACUUCUUCUAACCUUAUGGGAGGACUUCUCAGAAGUUGAAGGAACCAUAAUCCAGAAGAAAAUCGAGCCAAAAAUGAACGACGAUGAAAGAUAUCCAGUAAUCCUUAGGAGGAGUAUCGGAAUAUCUACUUAUGACGGUUUAUCAUUGCAAACCAGAUUCAACUCAACAAUACAAAUUCAUCCUGCUUAUCCAUAAGCAUUGGAGUUGAUAAAGUGGGCAAAAGCAAACAAAGACAUGCUCGCAGGAGGUUGUGCAUCAGACAACUUCUCAAGAUCACCAAGUUCAUCCACCUCUCUCAUGAUUCCUACCCAACAAAAAAUUAUUCCCAUUGCAGGAAUUAAUUUUGGUUUGUAGACUGGGAUUUUUUAUGUCGAGGCCGAAAUAUCAAUUUCAAGUGACUUGCAAAAGUUCUGUGUGCUUGAAUGCUCGGGUUGCAAACAGAAGUUGCGAACUAAGGAAAGAAGAGAUUUUGACUGCACCAAGUAUAAACGAAGGACAACUUUAGUUCCUCGGUGUAUGUUUCAGAUUGAUCUUAUUGAUGGUAGCGGUUCAACAACUGCAAUGAUUUCCGGUGAUGUCGCUGAAAAGAUGCUCUCAAUGACAGCAGAAGACAUAUUUGACACAACCUGUGUCAAGAAACAACUCUUGUCCAUUAACCAUGUCUUGGACACAUUUUCAGACAGAAUCUUUCGAAUUCAAUUAAGAAAAUCAUCUUGAAAAAGUUCUGACUUUGUGCGUACAAGUCUAUCAGUUUUGUCCUACGUAGAAAAGGAACAUAUCUUUGCACCAAUAAUUAGCGAGAGAAGCCAAAACAAGGUAAAGCCUCAAAGUACAGAUGAGAUAGAAAUGGAAAACAGCAGAUGUGAUAUCUAAAUAUUCAAGCGCAAGGCUGAAACUACAACCACCAACACCAUCAAAAAAAGUGUAAAGGAAGUAUUGACCUUUUAUGUGAUCUUUUGCUAUUGUAAAACAAAACCUUUUUUGGGCUCUUAUAUGAAUGGUACAAUCUCACUCCCGCUUCGCUACAAAGGAAUUUUGUCGUGGUGGUGAUCGAACAGUAAGAACUAGAGAGGGCGAUUGUGCUGGUUGUGAAAGUUUUUGGCCGCCUCAAUGGUCCACAAAUACAGGUAAAGCAUGCACCAUUUUUUUAAAGUCACUUCAAACUAAUUUUGCUUUAACCACAUGAGAUUAGUUAACCUUAGUAGAUAUUUGCAUGAAUUUAUACCACUAUAAACUAAAGUCGUGUGCUUCUACUCUACUGAAUAAUCUUACUCUGUAUUUUGAUUCUUGGCUGGCUGAAAGCCAAGGUCAAAAAUCCCCAAGUUCUUGCUUCUGUUUGCUAAUAUUUACUACACUGUUGGAUUCCUUUCUUCUAUGUUUCAUCUUAACUGGUGAGUUGUUAGACCCUCUACCAUUUUAUUAUGAUUAUUUGCUCAAUGUGUUACUACAAUUAGACUAUAUCAUCCUAAAUGAUAUUACUUGUAGUUUGAGACAUAUUUGAACUUUAUUUUGAGUUGAUUAAUGAAAUUCUGCUUAAGUCUAUAUUAUUGAUAACUAUCUCUUGAAGUUAAGUUAUGAACCUGCUUGUAAGUAUGCUUUUAUGCCUUUCCUGUGGAUUGAUUAAUUAGGUAUAGAUAUCUUCCUUAAUGGUAUAACAACUCUGCUUUGAGUACAUUAUAAUGUGGCAUGUUUAACUCUGUUCUUACUAUAUUAUGACACUUCUAGUAAUUGCCCCAAUCAAUUUUAACAUGUCCUAAUCUAUUGCUAAUUAUUGUGAUUCCUUCCUAUGACACUAAUCCCUACGCUUAGUCUAAUCUGGAUCCUCUGUUAUCACUAUGAAUCUACUGUAUAACUUGUCUUAUUAUCAUGUGACUGAAUUUAUUUCCCUAAAACUUGACUAAGUUUGCUUGGGAUUAAGCAUGUCUACUAUUUGUAUAUGUUCAAUAUAUGACUAUGCCCUUAAGUGGAUUCCCUAAUACAUUCUACUUCCCCCUAUUCCUUCACUAUCUGAUCCUUUUGAAUCCUCAUUCUUAGCCAGCUGAAAGCCAAGGCUAUUUAGGUUCUGUCCUCUGACCUCCUAGUGUGAGCAAUACUCAGGGUCCAUGUGAGACCCUUGUGAACUCUGACAUACUAGGACUUGGCCUCUAGUCUUUCCUUGAACUGUUUCUGAUCAAUCUCUCUAGUGUGAGCACUGCCUUGGGUUCUUGAAGCCCUUGGAAACUCUGAUACACUAGGGAUUUGGGUUCUGAUAUACGGGUGAAUCCCUCAACAACUGGUUAUGUUGUAUCUAUGAACAUGGAUUUUAGAGCUAUUGUGAGUUGAAGGCCUGGCCUGCCCAGGUGUAUUUGGGCCUACAGUAGGCUCCCUAUAGUUAUACUUACUUUGUAGUUUAUUACAUUAAAUUCUGGUGUAUAAUAAUUAUUUUGUAAUAACAAUUCUGGGGUGUUAGUGAA